GGAGGGAUCUAGCGUUAUUCGGAAUUACUGGGCGUAAAGCGAGCGUAGGCUGAUUUGUAAGUUGGAUGUGAAAUCCCAGAGCUUAACUCUGGAACUGCAUCCAAAACUACAUUUCUUGAGUUUGGUAGAGGAGAGUGGAAUUCCUAGUGUAGAGGUGAAAUUCGUAGAUAUUAGGAGGAACCACAGUGGCGAAGGCACUCUCUGGCCAAUUCGACGCUGGA
rnacentral:rRNA from 1 species